rnacentral:rRNA from 1 species
CUACGUGCCAGCAGCCGCGGUAAUACAUAUGGGGCGAGCGUUAUCCGGAUUUAUUGGGUGUAAAGGGUGCGUAGGCGGGAUAGCAAGUCAGUCUGUGAAAUCCCACGGCUCAACCGUGGAACUGCAACUGAAACUGUUAUUCUUGAGUAUCGGAGGGGAAAGUGGAAUUCCUAGUGUAGCGGUGAAAUGCGUAGAUAUUAGGAGGAACACCGGUGGCGAAGGCGACUUUCUGGACGAUAACUGACGCUGAGGCACGAAAGUGUGGGUAGCAAACAGGAUUAGAUACCCUGGUAGUCCACACCGUAAACGAUGGAUACUAGGGGUUGGCCAGGAAAUGGUCAGUCCCGCAGUUAACGCAAUAAGUAUCCCACCUGGGGAGUACGACCGCAAGGUUAAAACUCAAAGGAAUUGACGGGGGCCCGCACAAGCAGUGGAGUAUGUGGUUUAAUUCGAAGAAACGCGAAGAACCUUACCAGGGCUUGACAUAUACAGGAAUAUAUAAGAGAUUAUA